rnacentral:rRNA from 1 species
GAUGAACGCUGGCGGCGUGCCUAAUACAUGCAAGUCGAGCGAACAGACGAGGAGCUUGCUCCUCUGACGUUAGCGGCGGACGGGUGAGUAACACGUGGAUAACCUACCUAUAAGACUGGGAUAACUUCGGGAAACCGGAGCUAAUACCGGAUAAUAUAUUGAACCGCAUGGUUCAAUAGUGAAAGACGGUUUUGCUGUCACUUAUAGAUGGAUCCGCGCCGCAUUAGCUAGUUGGUAAGGUAACGGCUUACCAAGGCAACGAUGCGUAGCCGACCUGAGAGGGGGAUCGGCCACACUGGAACUGAGACACGGUCCAGAAUCCUACGGGAGGCAGCAGUAGGGAAUCUUCCGCAAUGGGCGAAAGCCUGACGGAGCAACGCCGCGGGAGUGAUGAAGGUCUUCGGAUCGUAAAACUCUGUUAUUAGGGAAGAACAAAUGUGUAAGUAACUAUGCACGUCUUGACGGUACCUAAUCAGAAAGCCACGGAUAACUACGU